AGAGUUUGAUCAUGGCUCAGAACGAACGCUGGCGGCAGGCCUAACACAUGCAAGUCGAAGGAGAAGCACCUUUCGGGGUGUGGACACUGGCGCACGGGUGAGUAACGCGUGGGAAUCUACCCCGGGGUGGGGAAUAACCGCUGGAAACGGCGGCUAAUACCGCAUACGCCGUAUUGGGAAAGCUUUAGCGCCCUGGGAUGAGCCCGCGUUAGAUUAGGUUGUUGGUGGGGUAAUGGCCUACCAAGCCUACGAUCUAUAGCUGGUCUGAGAGGAUGAUCAGCCACACUGGGACUGAGACACGGCCCAGACUCCUACGGGAGGCAGCAGUGGGGAAUAUUGGACAAUGGGGGCAACCCUGAUCCAGCCAUGCCGCGUGCGUGAAGAAGGCCUUAGGGUUGUAAAGCGCUUUCACUGGUGAAGAUGAUGACGGUAGCCAGAGAAGAAGCCCCGGCUAACUCCGUGCCAGCAGCCGCGGUAAUACGGAGGGGGCAAGCGUUGUUCGGAAUUACUGGGCGUAAAGGGCGCGUAGGCGGAAUAUCAAGUUAGGGGUGAAAGGCCUGGGCUCAACCUAGGAACUGCCUUUAAAACUGAUAAUCUAGAGUCCGGAAGAGGAUGGCGGAAUUCCCAGUGUAGAGGUGAAAUUCGUAGAUAUUGGGAAGAACACCGGUGGCGAAGGCGGCCAUCUGGUCCGGUACUGACGCUGAGGCGCGAAAGCGUGGGGAGCAAACAGGAUUAGAUACCCUAGUAGUCC
rnacentral:rRNA from 1 species